rnacentral:rRNA from 1 species
UACGAAGGGGACUAGCGUUGUUCGGAAUUACUGGGCGUAAAGAGCGCGCAGGCGGUCGUUCAAGUCGAGUGUGAAAGCCCCCGGCUCAACUGGGGAGGGUCACUCGAUACUGAUCGACUCGAAGGCAGGAGAGGGUAGUGGAAUUCCCGGUGUAGUGGUGAAAUGCGUAGAUAUCGGGAGGAACACCAGUGGCGAAGGCGACUACCUGGCCUGUUCUUGACGCUGAGGCGCGAAAGCUAGGGGAGCAAACGGGG